UCGUCGUCUCUGCUUAUACUCCCGCACGCGCCUAUAUGGGCCAGGCCCAAGUAAAACGCCAGCCUCACAUCGUUCAUCCCUGCCUCGCGUCCCUGAGUCCUGAGGCAAGUCUCCUCGAUUCCCUUUCUUCCUCGUUGCAGCCGCCUAGGUUUCGGCGCCACCACGGCCGCCAUGCUCUCCCUCUCCCCCGAGGCCCCGGUACCACUACACCGUCUGAUCUCCAAACACGUCAAAGAAUAGGAAAAGGAGCCCGGGGCAAAUCUUGAUGCCACCUGCCUCGCGUCAAUGGCGGGAUCGUGUUCAGGUUGGUCGUGAAGAAGAGGAGAAGAAGGACCGUCGAUGUUGGAGGUAAGAGGAUGGGGUAGUGCCGCCGGGGAGAGGACCCAGAGGCCCAAGCGCCAAGCGCCCAAGAGGCCUCGUAGCUUUGGGAAGCUGCCGUGGGGAAGCGAAUCCUCUGCCUAACAUUAGGCUCCGAGCAGGGAGACCGCUUCAGCCGCCAUCCAAAGUUCGGCAUCGAUCGAGGUUGCCGCACAUCCUUGUGGGAGCCGCAGCGCGCCAGGUGGUGCAGAUGCGGCCGUGAAUGGCAGGGAGGAAGGGGAGAGGGCAGGGCCAUUGCCUCUCGAUGAAUUUUCCCGUGGAAAAUUGACGAGUUACAGCGACCACAGUUGCAAGGUGCAGCCCCCUUGCUCUCUACGGUUCAAUUCCAAGACCAGUUGUGAUGGCGGCUCGGGCGCUGCCUUGCUGGUCGGCUCCCCCAAUUCGACGAAUACUUCUUCUUUAGGUGCACAUCUCGUCUAAACAGCUAGCUUGGAUUUGGAGAUAUCUAAUUCUCUAUUUUUUUCUCUUCAGCGUGGGAGGGUUAUUAGGUCCUGCUCUUACUUGCAGGGUGUGAUCUGCUACGGUUGUGCCACCAAUGCGAAUCGGAUUCUGCAGGCUUCGACAUGUUUAUGUUGGACUAGGCAUGCACUUCUUCAGCUUGGGUGAACCAUGGAGGUGUAGAGAGCCAGUCUGAAAAAUCUACUGCAACACAUGCAGGUGUCACGGUAGUCAUGGUAACCUCAAGCUUCGGUGAUGUGAGCAUGGACUCUCUCUUUAAGCAUCUCCAGCUCUGCGGUUAGCUCUCAUCUUGUUUGCGCUAAGGAACUUUUUUUUGCGAAUAUCUUAUUGUUCAACACAUGUCAUUUGAACAGGGCCUUGCCACUAUAGCUUAUGCAAAGCAUUUUAUUAUUAACCUUUAUUCUUUCAAUUCAUGUUCUAUGUUCAUUUACCCUGGGAUCAUGCCCACUCUUCUGUAUAUAUUGGGGUUUACAGAAGAACUGUUGGAAGAAAUCGAGAGGUGGGGAGAGAUGAAUAAAUAAUGGACCAUCUAUUCUGGUCUCAUGCUAAGAUUUCUUUAACUAUGUCAUAUUUUUUUGUGGCAACACAAGUGAGCUAUUGCUGUUUUUACUCAUUUUCUUAUUGUUGUGGCAUGAGCAGAGGGGAUGGAUGGGCGAUUGGAGAGAAAAAUCCUAAUUCCUAAUUCAUUGGGUUUCUAAUGGUGAGAAAGUGUCCUAUAGGUAAAAAAAAAGGAGUAUUGUUAUCAUAUUUAUUGCUCCAGCAUGAUAUUAGUUUUACCUCAGUGAGACUACUAGAAUGCUCUGAUAUCUGUGGAUAGAAUCUUAAUUUUUAGUAAAUAAUUCCUCUUUAGGAAUCAGGGGGACAGCCACCGUCAUCACGCCGUUGUCCUCAUCGGUGUCUUGCGAGCCUAAUAUGCAUGCCACACGCCGCACUCCUCAAGCUGCAAGACAUCUCCACCUAGAUGUUGCGUUGUCCUCCAUGCCUGUCUGCUACUUCUUAGAAGCAUCAAAACAUUGAACAUCCUUUAGUUAAUGUUCCUUAGUGUGCAUUUUAACGGGUAAGUAAUGCCCACAUUACUUGACAUAUCUUGAGACUGUGCACAUGAUUUUCUGAACUGAAUGAUUAGAGUAUAGGAAAUGCUAUGCAAUUUGAAUUAUCUGUCGGCCGGUGUAAAGGUACUUUGAGCCCAAUGUCACAUUUGAUGCCUUAUAUGCAAUCCUCAAUCAAAAAGAUCAUGCAAUUUUUUAAAUGUCGAUGGGUUCAGGGGAGCCUUAUUUUCUACACCAUAAUACUAUUAUUGUACUCAUCUGGAUACUUUUUCUCCCACUUGAUAUUUUCCACAGGCUCACUUGUUUUUUGUGCAGUUUACCUCAGUAUGAUACCUAUUCCUGGUGUAUGCAAUAAAAAAAGAAAUUUCUGGUGAAAGGUUACAUUCGGAUAGAUACAGGUCUAGGAUGAUUUGAGAAAAGUGAUUUUUUUAACUCAGAUUUUUUUCCAGUUCUAGACAAGAGAAAUAGGCAAAUACGUAGCUGCUUCUAAAAAAUGCAAGUAUGGAACCACUGAUUCAUACUUCCAGUAGUUUGUAUUGAUGCUUUCUAGAGAUUUUAUUUUCAAACGUCAAUCCUUUCAUGACAAGGCUUAGUUAAGCCUCUUCAUGUUGUCUCUGCCGAGACAAGUACCACUUAUAUAUCACAGUAUAUUCUAUAAUAGGGCGGGAGAUGGAAAAAAAGUUAGCUCCCUGUUACUCUCCUUGCCGAUGUUUGCUCAUGUAAUUAGUUGCACAAAUUUUCCAGCAGAAAACAUGUGGUAUACUUUUGCAAUGAGAAUAUGCAGUGUUUUUCUCUUUUCUUUUCUUUUCUUUUUAAAUGGGAACAUGAGAAUUAUGGCAAUGCACUUAUGAGCUCCUAGAUUCAUGAUACAAAAUCUGAGUGGCGAUGAGCACAUUCUUUACUAGAAUACACUUUCACACAAAAGGUCAUUUAUUUAUUUAUUCAUCUAUUGCAUUCAUAUUUUUUUCCUCAUUGUGUCCUUCAUUUAAAGUACUCCCUCCAUCACACAAAACUUGCCCUUCCUUCCCCAGUUCAUUUUAACAUUUUGAUUGUUUUAAAUUUAGGCUUCAAAUCAAAUUUCACAUUGUACUCUUCGCCGUCGAUCGUCUGGCCCGUCGCCGGCCGGCUUGCUAGCCGCGCUCCCUCUUAUGGACCGCUACCAUCGUCGUUCUCCCUUGCCUCCACAGCCCCCUCACCGUCGUCUGCGGAGGAAGGAAUUCAUCGACAAGUUUGGGCCCUGCCUCGCCGCCGCCGGCGUGGCCAGAGGUAGCAGGGAGUGGAAGACCUGCUCCCCGGCUCACUGUCUUGCUGUGUUGACUAUCGUGCUCUCGCCAGCAGCUCCAGCUCCUCAAGCUAUAGUGUCUUCUUCUCUCGAAAGAAUAAGAAGGUACAUUCAUCAGGAUAUGUGUUCAACAUUUGAUAAUUGCAUCGAAAGGGAGAUAGUUGAGAAUUGCAUUUCACCAGAAUUUGUGUUCAACAUUUGAGAAUAGAAGGCACUAUAGUUUACUUGAUACUAAGCAAUGAAGGUCACAGACAUAACUAGCCCGGUUUGACAGGCAACAGGGAGGAUGCUUUAUAUCCUCUUAUGCAUUCCGUUGAAUGGAAAUUUGGUUUUUAAGUCAUACUUUGCCUUGUUUAUUCGAUUAUUACUUAAUGAAGAUCUACCAGUAAGCUUGGCGCACCACGAAGCUUGAUGCAUUCUCAUUAGUUGUCUGUUGCGGUGUAAUUCAGUAAUUAACAUCAGUUAUUGUCAUUUUUCUCACUUUUAUUGUUUGCCUAAUCUUUAUUUCACGGUACAAGAGAUUUAUGGUUUGCUAGGUUGUGUUGGUGCUGAAGCUAGGCACAAGUUGGUUUUGGUGAUUACAAACAAACAAAAAUGGAUCGUGUGUUUGCAGUCUACUAAAAUAUGAAGCACAAGUGUCAUGUUGUUUUGUCAAAUACAGUGUUAGAUUAUAAGUUUUGAAGUUGAUUUCUUCCAGAAUUAUAGUACUGAGAUUUCUUCCAGUAUUCACUGGCCAUCGAAAUGAGCACCUGGUCCAAACCACUUGAUAAUUAUAGGGUGAUUAUUAGGUAGCAUCAGAAAUCAGAAAGAAGCAUAACUCAAAGGGAAUAAAGUGGAGCACCUUUUGAUGUAAGUACUUGAUACUCAACCAACCUCCCGUACGAUUCGAACCGAUCUGCUCAAGUUAUCUUGGCGCAGACGGUUUCCCGAUGGGACGGUAUCCGACACAGCAGCUACAACCGUGGCAGGCCACUGACGAUGUGCAUCGGUGCAGGCAAGGUGCAAAGCAUUCAGUCACCAAAAAAUACAAAUUCAACCUCUUUUCACAAGCCCCACAAUCCUUGCUUGCAAUACAGAGGAGAUACAGGAAUUUGGUAACACUGAUAGUAAAAUCAAAUGUGAUAGAUGGGAGCUAACUGGCUAAAGGGCUGCAGUGCGUGAAGAACAGCUACGCCUCAAUGGCCGAGUACCUAGGCAUCCUCGAACUGUUGCUGGUCCAUGUGGUUCCAGAAGAUUCCAGUGGUGUGUCAUUGCCGACAUUUUUCCCCUUGAAGAAAUGUAGGAAAUAACCAAGAUAGUGAGAGGGAGUGAGCUUGAGAGUGGGGAAUUGGGAUUAUGAGUGAGGAUGAGUUUUUCUUCUGAGGUGUCCAUGUCCAUGUCUGUUCGGGUGUUUAGCAUUAACGAGUUCCUUUUUUCUAUAUAAAGGUCAAGAUUGUAAAGGGGUCAUACAAAAUGUUUGUAAAGAAAUUAAAACAUUGUUAUUUAAGAUCAUUUUUUAUUCA